rnacentral:lncRNA from 1 species
CUAGAGUAUAGGAAAUAACCUACAAAUACUACAUAUGCCACAGACCUUAGACCAUAUCUCUCUUGAUUUACAGCCUUUCAGUACACACCAUCUGCCUGAUUUUGACUAACAAGGGGAGGGAGAAAGGAAGAAGAGUGGACUUGGGGGUUGAAGGAUAAAAUAUUAUAAUUGUUUACAUAUUUUUUAUUUUGAAAACAAAGGCAGUUAGGUUAAUAAAAUUUUCACACUAAUGUUGUUUGUUAACCAUUAAUUAAUCUUGAUGAUAUGCAUGCACUGUACCUCUCAAAAUCACAGUGACAUCUUUCACAGUGCUGCUUUCCAGCAUCUGGUACCAUUGUAAUAAGACACUAUAUGAAACUCCUUUAUUACUAUGGCUAAUGAUAUAAAAAUCUAACAGAUGUCUGAAUGACAAACAUGUAAUCGAAUAAAUCAUACUAUGCUGUGCACUGAUAUGUCUACUGGGAACUGGAAAAAGCAGCAUUUCCUUUGGUCUGGGUUUAUUUUUCCACUGUGGUUCCAGCUGGAAACCAUUGAGGAGGAGCAGCAUGUUGCUUGUAUCCUGAAAAAUCCUACUGAGUCUGCCUUUCUUUGGACUCUGUUUCAGCAUUUUUUAGGAUGGUUUACUGACUUCACUGACUCAUGCUGCCCUCUACAAGGGGUACAGGCAUCUCAGAUCCCUCCACCUGCAGCCUGGUCCUCUGCCCACCACUAUGGGAACCAUGAAGAAAAAAGGUUUUCUCAGGAAUUGUUCCCUGUCUUCUGUCCAGGAUCACUCUAAUCAU